GCCCCUAUAGUAUAGCCUGGAUAGUACGUGGCCUUGCGGAGGCUGAAACCGGGGUUCAAAUCCUCGUGGGGGCG
rnacentral:tRNA from 1 species